UUGUUUAAACAAUCAUACAUAUUAAUAUAUGAUAAUUAGAGAAGUGAAUGAACAGUGUGUAUAGUCGUGCUUUAUUCUGAGUGAUCUGUUUGGGCGGUCAUCCACCUUAGAGACGCGUGUCUUCCAGCUUUACCAACAUCUCUUUGAAAGUCUCAGACGAGACUUAAAAUGAGAGAAAGGGAAGGAGAUGGGCGGUGACCGGAGUGUUACCACCAUCUCACCACCACUCGCCACUACUCUAAUCAAGGUUUCUAGGGCUUCAGUUCGAUUUGAUUUGUGAUUCAAGGUUUCUAGGACUUCAAUUUCUGAUUCAUGGUUCUAUUACCCAUUGUUGAUGGGUCAGAGGAGAGGAGACGGAAGUUGUCAUGAUAAUUGUUGUUCUUUGACGUGCAAAAGCCGAAGUGUCACCACUGGCGGAUUCAGGCCGUCUUGGCGGUAGCGAUUUUCAACGUAAAACCCUAGCCGACGUUUUAGGCGACGGCGGCCGGGGUUCUUGCGAGGUUUCAGCCUUUCACCUACCUGACGAUGAUGAUGGCUUGCUACCUGGUAUGGCAACUCCGGUUGCAACCAUAGCGCCACUGAGCAGGUUCAACGACGAUGAUGAUCUUAAUUGUUGUUCUUUGACGUGCAAAAGCCGAAGUGUCACCACUGGCGGAUUCAGGCCAUCUUGGCGGCAGCGAUUUUCAACGUAAAACCCUAGCCGACGUUUUAGGCGACAGCGGCCGGGGUUCUUGCGAGGUUUCAUCCUUUCACCUACCUGACGAUGAUGAUGGCUUGCUACCUGGUAUGGCAACUCCGGUUGCAACCAUAGCGCCACUGAGCAGGUUCAACGACGAUGAUGAUCUUUUCGGAUCCGAGUCGAUAUGUGUUGGUUAUGGUAAAAUCGUUUGAGGUUACAGAGUUACCAGCGUCUUCAUAGUCAGAUCCUAGCACGAAAGCAGUGGGUUGUUGCUAGGGCGGAUGAUAUGUUUAUCCGGGUAUACAAUUACAAUAUAAUGGACAAGGUCAAAAGUAUACGAGGCACGCACUGAUCGCACUAUAAAGAUUGCAAAAUCCUUAGCACUUCCGGUUUUACUCGAGCAUGCUCUUCAAGUGAAUAAACUAGCAAGGAGAAACGUAUCAUUUAUGAAGUCUUCUCAGUGACAAUUUGGAAGUUGUGGCCACUGCGUAAUGAAAAGGUAUUUAGAGGAUAGUCACAGCAGAUUAAAAAGGUUCUAGAGGAAAUAAAGGUAGAGACACGAGUGGAUGGAGAGACGAAACAAAAGCGCGGGUCUGUCUUUGGAAAGCUGGACCAGUAGUUUUAGUCGUUUUCUUUGUUGUAUGUACUAUGCUUGUGUGUCUGCUCCUUUUGGUUCUUUAUGUUGGGGUGUAUCAUCUGUCUUAGCUGCUGGCUAAGAUAAGAGUUCGUAUUUUUUUCCAUAUAAUGAAAUUCUCCUUUGCCUGGGAAAAAAAUAGAAAAAAAAUGACUUUUGUUACAAAGUCAACCUAGAAACACAUAGUAGCAUUGAUUUUGCAUACAUGUGACAAAAAUAAAGUUUUGGACUU
rnacentral:lncRNA from 1 species